UACUGGCAUUGUUGGUUUCUCCCUUCUGACGAACCAUGAUGUCCUUUAUUUGGUGUUGUGGGGAAUCAGGACUGUUACUUUGAAAAAAUUAAAGUGUUUAAAGCAGGCUCACGCUUGAAUACAUUAACAUGGAAUAAUGAAAUAAGACGUUUGAUUCUAUUUUGUUGGUUUCCAAGAUCGACGUAAUGAUUAAUAAGGAUAGUUGGGGGCAUUAAUAAUCCAUUGUCAGAAGUGAAAUUCUUGGAUUUAUUGAAAACUAACUACUGCCAAAGCAUUUGCCAAGGAUGUUUUCAUUAAUCAAGAACCAAAGUUAGGGGAUCGAAAAACAACAGAUACCGUCCUAGUCUUAACCAUAAACUAUGCCCACUAAGGAUCGGAAGAAGUUAAUUUUUUUAUGACUCAUUCCGCGCCUUACC
rnacentral:rRNA from 1 species